ACAAAUUCUGGUGUUUUCCGGAAGUAAACGUGCUCUGCUGCAGCUAAAAAAUGCUGACUGUGCAUUAAUUUUUACUGAGGAGUGGAGACGUGUUGGCGAGAAGAAAAUAUUGGAUUUUUCUUUUGUUUCGAUGUAUUUUCCACCAUCAAGGGAAUAUGUGCAGACCACCUGGUCGGCACUAGAUCAUAGACAAGAUACGCACAUAUCUGAAACUGAAAUACAUACGAGUCAGCGGUAUUUCAAGUGCUGUAAACUUUAUAUAAACGCAAUAAAGACAUCAUUACAUUUACAAAUGAUGUAUUACAAAUAAACAAAUCAUUACAAAUGGAGAUUUAAAGAUUGUUAUAUCGAUAAAUAGGUAUGUGUAAAGCGAAAUAUAUAUUUACUUUUAUUACCUAUUUGGGGUUAAUUUAAAAAUCAUUUUAAAGGGAAUUUUCCAAGGGAAAAAUAUAGCCCACAUGUGGCAUAGUAUUUAAUAAUAUUGGUGACAUAUUCAUAGGAAAACACAUGGUGGUCAACUUUGCACGUUUGUCGCUUUUAUAUAUGCUUUUAUAUAUAUAUAUUUUUUAUUUAAAUAAAUAAAUAUGCCUUGUGGAAGCGAGCAAAUUUUGUUAAAUGUUCUGUAUUUGCUAUUGAUUAUUGAAUACAAGGUGAAUUAAUAUAAUGAAUUAUGAAUAAUGAACUCAAUCCAAUAACUGUGUUUCCUUUUGGAGUUGACCACCAAGUGCUAAAGUGUCACAUGAUUCAGUUUGAAACCCAGCUAUGGUCGCAUCACUGUUUAGUCUGUUAGUCACUCUUUUAAUCUGCCUUGUGCAAUUGGCCCAUUAGGAUUUGAAUCAUGUAGUCUGGCUUGGCUAAUUGACUAUUAGAGCAACAUAAAUAAUAAAUAUUUACUAAUAAUUAGUAAUAAUUAUUAGUUAGAAAUAUUGAUAUUUUAUUGCUUUAGGGAAUACUAUACAGUAACCUAGCCAGAGCUGGGGGGACCCCUCUCAGAAAAUGUUGCCCCCCCCCCCCGUACAUCCAGGGGCGAAACUAGCCCAUUUUAAUUAAGGGGUGUCUGCUAGAAUUUCCCUGCAAAAGCCGAUGAUGCCCUGCAGCAAAUUUUUUUUGGGCCACUAUUUUUCCCAAAAAUGUUGGCGAGCCGGGGGGGAGGGGGGGCAUGCAUGAAACCCUUAUUUUUGGACCAAUAUCUGUAAAAUGUGGGUCUAUAAAUCCCUGUAAGUUACUUAAUAACUCUACAUUCUAUCAUUUAAAAUCUUUGAUUGCCCUGCCAAUCCAGAUGAUUCGUCCUGCCAAUCCAGAUGAUUCGUACUUUGGGGGGUGUCACACUCCCCCAUACCCCCCCCCCUCAAGUUUCGUCCCUGCGUACAUCUAACUUUUGUAUGCCUUGAUUAAGCUGUCCCUCCCCCUGGGUCCACAAAGUCUGAGUGCAUAUUUUUGGAAAUACAACAUUUGAAUUUUUCUUAUAUUUUACUAGAAAUUAUGCACAAUAACACAGUACAUUUUUAGUAAAAUGUUCAAGGAAAAGGAUCUUCCAAUAGCAGCAGAUGACACAGCAAAUCUUUAGUAAAAUGUUCAAGGAAAAGAAACUUCCAACAGCAGCAGAUGACACAGUAAAUCUUCAGUAAAAUGUUCAAGGAAAAGAUCUUCCAACAGCGGCAGAUAACACAAUAAAUCUUUACUCUGUCUAACGCUAGAUGAUUUUACUCAUCAAGUGGAGUCUUGCAACUUAAUGGGUUAAUGAAUCAGUUGGUUAUUACAACCGAUUUCAACUUGAUUCAUAUUUAACAUUCACUUUAACCCAUUUACUGGCAGUACUCUACCACUGACGAGUAAUUAAUCGUCUGGCAUUAGACAGAGUAAAUACUAAGUAGGGCACAUUUGGGCACAUUCACAUUGCCAGUUAAUGAGUUAAUAUUAACAGCAUUAAAAACAGACUAGGGUGUCAAAGGCUAGUUGGAUGCUUCUUUGCCUGCAACAAAGCAUAAAGUGGGACUGCCACAUGAUCAAUGUUAGAUUUCAGAAAUGAAGAGAAUCGAUAUUUUAAUAAAAUAAUUGUUAUUAAUAAAAUAAUUGUUAAAAUAAUCAAUAUUUUAAUAAAAUGAUUGUUG
rnacentral:lncRNA from 1 species